rnacentral:rRNA from 1 species
GAGUUUGAUCGUGGCUCAGAUUGAACGCUGGCGGCAUGCCUUACACAUGCAAGUCGAACGGUAGCAGGUCUUUUUGGAUGCUGACGAGUGGCGAACGGGUGAGUAAGACAUCGGAACGUACCCGACUGUGGGGGAUAACGAGGCGAAAGCUUUGCUAAUACCGCAUAAGUUCUGCGGAAGAAAGCUGGGGACCCAUUUGGGCCUGGCGCAGACGGAGCGGCCGAUGGCAGAUUGGGUAGUUGGUGGGAUAAAAGCUUACCAAGCCAACGAUCUGUAGCUGGUCUGAGAGGAUGAUCAGCCACACUGGGACUGAGACACGGCCCAGACUCCUACGGGAGGCAGCAGUGGGGAAUUUUGGACAAUGGGGGCAACCCUGAUCCAGCCAUGCCGCGUGCAGGACGAAGGCCUUCGGGUUGUAAACUGCUUUUGUACGGAACGAAAGGGACUGCUUUAAUAGGGUAGUUUUAUGACGGUACCGUAAGAAUAAGCACCGGCUAACUACGUGCCAGCAGCCGCGGUAAUACGUAGGGUGCGAGCGUUAAUCGGAAUUACUGGGCGUAAAGCGUGCGCAGGCGGUAUUGUAAGACAGAGGUGAAAUCCCUGGGCUCAACCUGGGAACUGCCUUUGUGACUGCAAUGCUGGAGUGCGGCAGAGGGGGAUGGAAUUCCGCGUGUAGCAGUGAAAUGCGUAGAUAUGCGGAGGAACACCGAUGGCGAAGGCAAUCCUCUGGGCCUGCACUGACGCUCAUGCACGAAAGCGUGGGGAGCAAACAGGAUUAGAUACCCUGGUAGUCCACGCCCUAAACGAUGUCAACUGGUUGUUGGGGAUUGAUUUUCUCAGUAACGAAGCUAACGCGUGAAGUUGACCGCCUGGGGAGUACGGCCGC